rnacentral:rRNA from 1 species
GACGAACGCUGGCGGCGUGCUUAACACAUGCAAGUCGAACGGAAAGGCCCUGCUUUUGUGGGGUGCUCGAGUGGCGAACGGGUGAGUAUCACGUGAGUAACCUGCCCUUGACUUUGGGAUAACUUCAGGAAACUGGGGCUAAUACCGGAUAGGAGCUCCUGCUGCAUGGUGGGGGUUGGAAAGUUUCGGCGGUUGGGGAUGGACUCGCGGGUUAUCAGCUUGUUGGUGGGGUAGUGGCUUACCAAGGCUUUGACGGGUAGCCGGCCUGAGAGGGUGACCGGCCACAUUGGGACUGAGAUACGGCCCAGACUCCUACGGGAGGCAGCAGUGGGGAAUAUUGCACAAUGGGCGGAAGCCUGAUGCAGCAACGCCGCGUGCGGGAUGACGGCCUUCGGGUUGUAAACCGCUUUCGCCUGUGACGAAGCGUGAGUGACGGUAAUGGGUAAAGAAGCACCGGCUAACUACGUG